UACGAAGGGGGCUAGCGUUGCUCGGAAUCACUGGGCGUAAAGCGCACGUAGGCGGAUUGUUAAGUCAGGGGUGAAAUCCUGGAGCUCAACUCCAGAACUGCCUUUGAUACUGGCGAUCUCGAGUCCGGAAGAGGUGAGUGGAACUCCGAGUGUAGAGGUGAAAUUCGUAGAUAUUCGGAAGAACACCAGUGGCGAAGGCGACAUACUGGUCCGUUACUGACGCUGAGGCUCGAAAGCGUGGGGAGCAAACAGG
rnacentral:rRNA from 1 species